GCCCUACAACCCGCUGUACACCGCCUUCUAAGCGGUUGGUCGUUGGUUCGAUUCCUAACGGGGGCGCCA
rnacentral:tRNA from 1 species